rnacentral:tRNA from 1 species
GGCGGCGUAGCUCAGUCGGUUAGAGCAUCGGAAUCAUAAUCCGCAGGUCCGGGGUUCAAGUCCCUGCGCCGCUACCA